rnacentral:rRNA from 1 species
UACGUAGGGAGCAAGCGUUGUCCGGAAUCAUUGGGCGUAAAGCGCGCGUAGGUGGCCUCGUAAGUCCGCUGUGAAAGUCAAAGGCUCAACCUUUGAAUGUCAGCGGAUACUGCCGGGCUAGAGUCCGGAAGAGGCGAGUGGAACUCCUGGUGUAGCGGUGGAAUGCGCAGAUAUCAGGAAGAACACCAACGGCGAAGGCAGCUCGCUGGGACGGAACUGACGCUGAGGCGCGAAAGCGUGGGGAGCGAACAGG